ensembl:lncRNA
AAGCAUUCACAGAAUUUUGACUAGGAAACUAAACACUCAGAAAUUUUCAUUCUUCCUGGGGAAAAUGUAUAAAUCCUAUUUAUUUUUCAUUGGAAUAUAAACUUUGGGUGAAUAAUGUCUGACAUACAUUUGUUGAUAAUAAAAUUCUCAGAAUCUGUCCUAUUCAGUUCAUUGUUUCUGCCUGGGAAGCAUGGGGUUGAAACAACAAGAAAGAAUAAACAAUGGAAAUAUUGGUUUUAGCCAUAAAUGCAAUAUGAUUGAUCAUCUCAGGACUCUCUGUGCCCACUGAGUUGGAUUCCCAGCAUCAUUUUAAAAUGGCUCAGCACCUUACAUGACCAAUCCUGUAAGUCAGCCAAAAGAGAAUGGAUUCUCUUCAGAAGUUUUGAAACAUAUACAAAGAAGCACUUCCUAUUCAUUUUAAAUCUGAACGGUACUAAAAUGUUCUUCCUCAGAAAAAUUCACUGUUUGCUUUCCUACAUAAAAUACACGAAUAUUUUUCCCCGUGGUGUACAGUUUUAUUGACAUUUAGGGCAACAUCUCUGUACAUCUGUGUGUGUGUAUGUGUUUAACCAUUAAGUAAAAGAGUUCCUUGGAGUCCUGUAUCAUUAUUGUUGAAAUCCACCAACCAAAGAUCAAAAGGGAUAUUCCUGCCCUCAAGCAAAGUCAGUUUGUUUAGCUGUCUGCGGUGGCAAGGGAGAACACACACUGGGGGAAAUCGGGGGGCAUCUCAGCAAGGAUGAGCUGGGAGGACUUCUUCUAGGGUUUGGGGUACGAUUCAGAAACUUUAUGGAGAAAUUAGAGAAACAGGGAUCAGCUCUGGAUUGGAUACUGUCAAAAAGGGGGGAAUAUGUUGAUUGGAUGUGUUAAUAAUCUUUAUCCAGGAGGAAGAAGGAGUAAAUCAGGGCAGGAAGUGUCUCUGGGGAGAAAGCAGUCAUUGCUGGAAGGAGGGGACCGUCCGUGUCCGCAGCUACAUUACGGCCUUGAUUAUGUGCUAUGAGAAACAUUGUUCGUGCUCUAAUGAUCUGACUCUCAGCAGGGCCGAUUUUCACUUUCUCGUUAUGUUGGGAAAAUACAGAAAAAUCUUCAACCCACACUUUAUCUUUUUCAGAGAUACACAUUUGUCAGGAUUUUAAAAUUCUGGAGAAGAUCAAAAUAGGAAAGAAUUCUGUUAGAACAGUUAGACCAAAACUACUUAUAGAUAGAUAAAUAGACAGAUGGAUGAUAGAUAUAGAUCUAUGUUUAAUAUAUUAUGGUAUAUAUCUAUAUUACAUAUAAAUAUUAUAAAAACAUAAUAGAUAUAGAUUGUAUAUAACAUAACGAACCAUCUAUAUAAAUUUAAGAGUCAACCCAUGAGCAAGGUAUUUGCGGUUACAAUGAGAUUUAUCGCUAUAAUAUCGCAGAGACUCCCAGGACAAUAAUUUGCUGCACAGUUCAACCUCUGCAUGUAAAGGGAUUUGUUUCAGAGUUAUUGACAGUCACAAAAUACAGUUAAUCCUGAAGCAAGGAAUAAGGAAGUUCAAUGCUGAGCCUCAAGUAUCACAUAAAAUGAGCCAAAGGACAAUUUGAAACUUCCUGUAAAGAGGAAGACAAAGAGAAGAUAAACAGGGCUUCAACUUCCACUGCGGUCUUCAAUCCUCAGAGAUGCACAUUAUAACACUGGAGGCCUUCCAUAUGGACUAAAACAUCACCUUUCUCUUCCUGCGUUGUCCUUUUUCUGCUCUUCCAUUCUUCGAAUUCCUUUUAUCCUUCGUGUUUAGGUACAGCUACAUUUAAAAUUUGACAGAGAGAGCUAUGCCUGAGGCUGUGAUAGUCAGCAUAUGGAAUAUAUUUUUAAAAAGAGAAAGAGAGAGCAAUAGCAAAACAUCAUCAUGACGGGAGGUCACUCCAGACGGAGUUCCACGACUGCCGGAAAAUAUCUGCUUUUCUUCACCAUUAGAACCGCAAUAUCUUCUCCAGUGCCUGACAUGAUAUAGCAGUCAAAAUACUUGUGAUAUGAAUGAAUAAAUCCAUCAUGAAAAGUCUGGGUUCAUGUGUCAUAAUAGUGUACUAUAUGUUGUAGUGAUAACAGACCCCCAAAUUUCUGUGACUGAAAAGCAAAAAAGCUCAUUUCUCACAUAUUCUACGUAACUCUCAUGAGUUGGCUGUGGAUCUUUCUUGCAUUGAUUGCUUUCAAAAAUCAAGCUAAUCUGCCCUAGAAAAUUGCUAACUGAUGAGGGAGGGGAAAAGAGUACUAGUACUUACAAUUUUCUACCACAUUUCAUUGGCCAAAUCAAGUCAUAAGGUCGAGACUAACAAUCAGAUGGAGAAGAAUAAUAAUACCUCAGAAAAGGCAGAGAAUAUUUGUGAACGAUUAUGUAGUAUUCCAUAUUUCCCCUCGCUAAUACUGAAAAUAUUUUUAAAAAGCUAAUGAGAGACUCAUGAGAUCUUGGUCCUGAAAAAAUUACAACUAGAAAAUCCUCUUAGGAUUUAUCUCAAUGCUUUCAACUGCCCUGUUAUGAGAGAAGUUAAACGAUCAUAUGCAGACACUGAGAUUAAAACAGAGAUCUUUGAAAACUGUAUAUAAUCACUUACAUGCUAAGUAAAUUUGGGUUUUAGACCUUCUUUUAUAUUUAUGGAAGUAAAUCAUAUGUUCUUUUUCUCUAUUCCUUGUAAAGAUAUACUAGUAAGAAUGACAGAGCUUCAAAACUUCAAAUUUUGAAGGAAUUUGAGGGAAUGAAAUAUAGCUAAUGUGAGAGAUUGAAAAACACAGAUAACCCACAGAUAAUCUAUUCGGUGUGCAUAUAGUUCAAAGAAGCUGAAUCCUAUUACUACACUCAACACCUCCCAGUAUUUAAAGCACCACAGCCUGUUGGGACAUCAGUAAAAUUACUAUGACUCUGACAUAUUCAGUAAAACUCUUUCAGUCUUUCUUAACUACAAGUGGUUGAGAAUAAAGUUUUAACCAAUUUGAUUUUUCUACUCUUGCUGCCAGUAGCAGUCAUUUUCCUAUAAAGCAAUUUCACUGGUGACUUUGGUGUGAAAGAAUAAGAAUGUCAAUGAAGGGGCCGGCUCCAUGGCCAAGCGGUUAAGUUCGCGUGUUCCGCUACGGCAGCCCAGGGUUCGCAUGCUGGGCCGGACAUGGCACCGCUCGUCAGGCCACGUUGAGGCGGCAUCCUACAUCCCACAACUAGAAGGACCUGCAACUAAGAUAUACAGCUAUGUACUGGGGGGGUUUGGGAAAUAAAGUAGAAAAAAAAAGAAAAACGAUUGGCAACAGUUGUUUGCCCAGGUGCCAAUCCUUAAAAAAAAAAAAAAAAA